CACGGGGGGAGCAAGCGUUGUUCGGAAUCACUGGGCGUAAAGGGCGCGUAGGCGGCCACCGCAAGUCGACUGUGAAAUCUCCGGGCUUAACCCGGAAAGGUCAGCCGAUACUGCGGGGCUAGAGUGCAGAAGGGGCAACUGGAAUUCUCGGUGUAGCGGUGAAAUGCGUAGAUAUCGAGAGGAACACCUGCGGCGAAGGCGGGUUGCUGGGCUGACACUGACGCUGAGGCGCGAAAGCUAGGGGAGCGAACGGG
rnacentral:rRNA from 1 species